UGUAGGCCAGGCCAGACCAGAUCAGAGCAGAACAGCAGGCUCUCCUUAGACUUCUUAACAUAAAGAUAAUAGAUUCUUAGAGUGCCAUCAGAGCCUUUAGCGCAUGGUGAAGUUGAGCAAGAUUUUGUUCUCAAGUACAGCCCGUGAGAAUGAGGAAGAGGAAACUUAUCUCUGAAGAGAGAAUAAUCCCAUAUACUUGGCUUGUACCAGAACUGGAUGACCAAGGACAUGAACCAAAUGCAACAUACACAAAAACAAAUAAGCAAUGAAGUUUAUGAGAAAAGAAGGUUGAAGAACAAUACACCUUUUCUACCACAGCAAUGCUAUUCUGCAGGGUGGGAUGCGUUCCUCUGGAAGGAUACAGCCAGAAUUGCCCCUCGUUGCCUCAGAAAGUUUUGGAAUUGGAAGUGUGGGGGCGUUUAGGCCCUGAGGAAGUCUGGGUGGUGGGCCACGUCCCCACGCCUCAGCUGACCCUAACGAAAAUGGGGAGCAGUCCACCCUUCCCCUUCCUCUACCUUUCCUGGAGCAGAAGGGAGGAGAGAACUCGCAGCUCUGAAAAGGACCAGAGAUAGGAAUAUUUUCCUGAAAACCGUAACUUACCUUCAUUUAGAAAACGUUGCUGAUUCCUGAGUAUCUCACAGAUUCCAGUUCCUAUGGGAAAGCAGGACUCUUACCAAAAGAAGGAAAACAUAUUAGCUGAACAGUGACUGGAGAGAUGAGGAUGAAUUUCUCUAGAAACAGAUUUCAUGGGCUUGCUGCUUAUACCCAGAGAUCAGUGCUGUGCAGCUUGGGGGGUGGGGUGUCAUUUACAUGAUAUUCUGUGGCGCCUGAAGAAUUUUCAGUGACAUAGAAUGUGAUGUGAAUGGGUUACCUGCAUUUUUAUACCCUCAAGCCCACACUCCAAACCUAACGUCAGGGCGAAUAAAAUGCAUGAAUUGACUGGUACCUUGAUGUGGCUUGGGUAUGGGAACCCCAGAUCCCAGCUUCAGGCACUGUGAAUUUCUCUGGUACCAGGUGCUGCCUAAGGGAAUCAGCUUUCUUGAG
rnacentral:lncRNA from 1 species